rnacentral:rRNA from 1 species
AGGGCGCACGGUGGAUGCCUUGGCACUAGAAGCCGAUGAAGGACGUUACUAACGACGAUAUGCUUUGGGGAGCUGUAAGUAAGCUUUGAUCCAGAGAUUUCCGAAUGGGGAAACCCAGCAUGAGUUAUGUCAUGUUAUCGAUAUGUGAAUACAUAGCAUAUCAGAAGGCACACCCGGAGAACUGAAACAUCUUAGUACCCGGAGGAAGAGAAAGAAAAUUCGAUUCCCUUAGUAGCGGCGAGCGAAACGGGAAGAGCCCAAACCAACAAGCUUGCUUGUUGGGGUUGUAGGACACUCUAUACGGAGUUACAAAGGACGACAUUAGACGAAUCAUCUGGAAAGAUGAAUCAAAGAAGGUAAUAAUCCUGUAGUCGAAAAUGUUGUCUCUCUUGAGUGGAUCCUGAGUACGACGGAGCACGUGAAAUUCCGUCGGAAUCUGGGAGGACCAUCUCCUAAGGCUAAAUACUCUCUAGUGACCGAUAGUGAACCAGUACCGUGAGGGAAAGGUGAAAAGCACCCCGGAAGGGGAGUGAAAUAGAACCUGAAACCGUGUGCUUACAAGUAGUCAGAGCCCGUUAAUGGGUGAUGGCGUGCCUUUUGUAGAAUGAACCGGCGAGUUACGAUUUGAUGCAAGGUUAAGCAGUAAAUGUGGAGCCGUAGCGAAAGCGAGUCUGAAUAGGGCGUUUAGUAUUUGGUCGUAGACCCGAAACCAGGUGAUCUACCCUUGGUCAGGUUGAAGUUCAGGUAACACUGAAUGGAGGACCGAACCGACUUACGUUGAAAAGUGAGCGGAUGAACUGAGGGUAGCGGAGAAAUUCCAAUCGAACCUGGAGAUAGCUGGUUCUCUCCGAAAUAGCUUUAGGGCUAGCCUCAAGUGAUGAUUAUUGGAGGUAGAGCACUGUUUGGACGAGGGGCCCCUCUCGGGUUACCGAAUUCAGACAAACUCCGAAUGCCAAUUAAUUUAACUUGGGAGUCAGAACAUGGGUGAUAAGGUCCGUGUUCGAAAGGGAAACAGCCCAGACCACCAGCUAAGGUCCCAAAAUAUAUGUUAAGUGGAAAAGGAUGUGGCGUUGCCCAGACAACUAGGAUGUUGGCUUAGAAGCAGCCAUCAUUUAAAGAGUGCGUAAUAGCUCACUAGUCGAGUGACACUGCGCCGAAAAUGUACCGGGGCUAAACAUAUUACCGAAGCUGUGGAUUGUCCUUUGGACAAUGGUAGGAGAGCGUUCUAAGGGCGUUGAAGCAUGAUCGCAAGGACAUGUGGAGCGCUUAGAAGUGAGAAUGCCGGUGUGAGUAGCGAAAGACGGGUGAGAAUCCCGUCCACCGAUUGACUAAGGUUUCCAGAGGAAGGCUCGUCCGCUCUGGGUUAGUCGGGUCCUAAGCUGAGGCCGACAGGCGUAGGCGAUGGAUAACAGGUUGAUAUUCCUGUACCACCUAUAAUCGUUUUAAUCGAUGGGGGGACGCAGUAGGAUAGGCGAAGCGUGCGAUUGGAUUGCACGUCUAAGCAGUAAGGCUGAGUAUUAGGCAAAUCCGGUACUCGUUAAGGCUGAGCUGUGAUGGGGAGAAGACAUUGUGUCUUCGAGUCGUUGAUUUCACACUGCCGAGAAAAGCCUCUAGAUAGAAAAUAGGUGCCCGUACCGCAAACCGACACAGGUAGUCAAGAUGAGAAUUCUAAGGUGAGCGAGCGAACUCUCGUUAAGGAACUCGGCAAAAUGACCCCGUAACUUCGGGAGAAGGGGUGCUCUUUAGGGUUAACGCCCAGAAGAGCCGCAGUGAAUAGGCCCAAGCGACUGUUUAUCAAAAACACAGGUCUCUGCUAAACCGUAAGGUGAUGUAUAGGGGCUGACGCCUGCCCGGUGCUGGAAGGUUAAGAGGAGUGGUUAGCUUCUGCGAAGCUACGAAUCGAAGCCCCAGUAAACGGCGGCCGUAACUAUAACGGUCCUAAGGUAGCGAAAUUCCUUGUCGGGUAAGUUCCGACCCGCACGAAAGGCGUAACGAUUUGGGCACUGUCUCAACGAGAGACUCGGUGAAAUCAUAGUACCUGUGAAGAUGCAGGUUACCCGCGACAGGACGGAAAGACCCCGUGGAGCUUUACUGUAGCCUGAUAUUGAAAUUCGGCACAGCUUGUACAGGAUAGGUAGGAGCCUUUGAAACGUGAGCGCUAGCUUACGUGGAGGCGCUGGUGGGAUACUACCCUAGCUGUGUUGGCUUUCUAACCCGCACCACUUAUCGUGGUGGGAGACAGUGUCAGGCGGGCAGUUUGACUGGGGCGGUCGCCUCCUAAAAGGUAACGGAGGCGCUCAAAGGUUCCCUCAGAAUGGUUGGAAAUCAUUCAUAGAGUGUAAAGGCAUAAGGGAGCUUGACUGCGAGACCUACAAGUCGAGCAGGGUCGAAAGACGGACUUAGUGAUCCGGUGGUUCCGCAUGGAAGGGCCAUCGCUCAACGGAUAAAAGCUACCCCGGGGAUAACAGGCUUAUCUCCCCCAAGAGUUCACAUCGACGGGGAGGUUUGGCACCUCGAUGUCGGCUCAUCGCAUCCUGGGGCUGUAGUCGGUCCCAAGGGUUGGGCUGUUCGCCCAUUAAAGCGGUACGCGAGCUGGGUUCAGAACGUCGUGAGACAGUUCGGUCCCUAUCCGUCGUGGGCGUAGGAAAUUUGAGAGGAGCUGUCCUUAGUACGAGAGGACCGGGAUGGACAUACCUCUGGUGUACCAGUUGUCGUGCCAACGGCAUAGCUGGGUAGCUAUGUGUGGACGGGAUAAGUGCUGAAAGCAUCUAAGCAUGAAGCCCCCCUCAAGAUGAGAUUUCCCAACUUCGGUUAU